GUCCGCGCGCCCGGGUCGCGCCCUCGGUCCUCUCUGAUCCCCAGGUGGUGCGCGCGGCAUCCCCUGGAAUUGAGGGCCGUGCUGAGGGCGCCAGCGGCCGGGGUGCCUUCUACAUUCCCGCUCUUCCCUCCCACAAAGCCUGCGCCAAGUAAUUUUAGAAGCGGCUGCUGUGACCUCAGGGCCUUUCUCUCCGGCUUGACGCCCUCAGGGGUCUCGGUUUCUCCGGUUGCCGCCUUUCCGGAGAGGGAAAUUUAUGUUCUGAGCGUGACUACUUUAAAGGGAGCAGCGUUUUCUCCUUGGUUUGGCCCUGGAUGUCCCCUCGCAUGGAUCUAGGUCGUCCUAUCAAAAUUCUGCUUGAUUUCCUGCUAGAAGAAUUGAAGAUAGCACUUCCUGAUUGGUCCCAGAUGCAGGGCUUGGGAAGUGAUUUUCUGCACAUGCAUCCUGGAUCUCCCUGAUCGCCGGAGUACUCCCACUUUCCCAGAUUGCUGGCCAUGCCCUAACCUCCGGCCUCAAAAGUGCUGGGGUUCUUGUCUUCCUGGAUACUAUGAUGUUGGACAGCUUCCUUCCAGCUGGCCCAUCCAUCAUGCCAUUUGAAACUUUUGAUCUUUUGGAUCCUUCACACCUUGCGUGAGGAAGCCCAUGCUGCCUUGUGGGGAGGACAUUAUGGAUGUGACCAGCUUGCAGCCAC
rnacentral:lncRNA from 1 species